AUUGAAUACUAUUUUAGGUACCUUAAUAUCUGUAAGGUAUUUUUUUCAGGCAGUUAAUAAUUUAAAUUGUUUCUGCUGCAGCGUGGAUAAUCUCUGUAAGGACAUUUUUCUUUGUGGCAAGAUGGAUGAUCAAGGUUGGGUUCCCGUCUCAUUGAUUGCUACCUUUAACAUGGUCAAAAGGGUGACCACGAGCAUAGCGAUGAUAUUGAAUGCUCUAAGAGAUUCGACAGAACUUGAAAUACAGAGAAAAUUAGAAGACGAGAGGAUUGG